UUACGGCCACAUCAUGUUGAAACACCUGUUCCCGUAGGAUCACCGAAGUUAAGCAACGCCGAGCUGGUGAGUAUCUCGAUGGGUGACCGACUGGGAAACAUU